rnacentral:rRNA from 1 species
CUAGAGUUUGAUCCUGGCUCAGGAUGAACGCUGGCGGCGUGCUUAACACAUGCAAGUCGAACGAAGAUAUUUGAGAUGAGAGCUUCGGCAGGAAUUUUAUCUAUCUUAGUGGCGGACGGGUGAGUAACGUGUGGGCAACCUGCCCUGUACUGUGGAAUAAUCACUGGAAACGGUGACUAAUACCGCAUGUCGUCACGAGGGGGCAUCCCUUUGUGAAAAAAGGAUUUAUUCGGUACAGGAUGGGCCCGCAUCUGAUUAGCUAGUUGGUGAGAUAACAGCCCACCAAGGCGACGAUCAGUAGCCGACCUGAGAGGGUGAACGGCCACAUUGGGACUGAGACACGGCCCAAACUCCUACGGGAGGCAGCAGUGGGGAAUAUUGCACAAUGGGGGAAACCCUGAUGCAGCAACGCCGCGUGAAGGAAGAAGGUUUUCGGAUCGUAAACUUCUAUCAAUAGGGAAGAAAGAAAUGACGGUACCUAAAUAAGAAGCCCCGGCUAACUACGUGCC